GGCAAGAUGGCCGAGCGGUUAAGGCGGUAGACUCAAGAUAAUAUCUUACCUGCAAAGCAGGCAGCAUUCUACUGGGGCAACCCGCGUGAGUUCGAAUCUCGCUCUUGUCA